rnacentral:lncRNA from 1 species
ACGGCAGUAGCGAUCGUUACCCUGGUUAUAUUUCUUCCCGCAUUUAAUAGUUGUUAAUAAUAAAUGGUUCAGUUAGAUGUUUGAAUGUUUGUGAUUUCCGUUAUGCACGAUUAGAGAUUUUGUGGAUCUAUAGUUUUGGUUUUAUGGAUAUUCAAUUCUUGGAUUUGUAUAUUUAUACGGAUUUACAUAUUGUGGUUUCUAUCCCUCGAGGUAGCUAGUUUUCAAAAUAGAGUUUUCGUGUGGAAAACAGUUUUAAAAAGUUUUUUGAAUGGCUUUUGCUGAAUGAUUGAAUUAGAUUUAAAAACAAAGCUUCUGGGUGGGGAGCACUUUUAAAUAGGAUGCUUGUUGUAUUGUGCAUUGCAUCAUUCAGCGCCUAAGGAGUGCUUAGAGGCAUGCAUCAUCUCUAAGGAUCGUUAGCUGUAUGGAAAUGCAUAUCAUGAAUUGGUUGUUGAUUGGUAAAUGUAAGUUGUGGUUGAGAUCCUGUUGUACAGUUGGUACGCCGUGCAAAUACAAAGAAAAUUUUGUCCGAGUGGAUAGAGGAACUUCGUAUUUGUGGCGGGUCUGUACGUCACGUAGGCCAGGUUGAGAAAAAAAAAAUUUGGCACGUUUUUUG